GACGAACGCUGGCGGCGUGCUUAACACAUGCAAGUCGAACGGAAAGGCCCUGCUUUUGUGGGGUGCUCGAGUGGCGAACGGGUGAGUAACACGUGAGUAACCUGCCCUUGACUUUGGGAUAACUUCAGGAAACUGGGGCUAAUACCGGAUAGGAGCUCCUGCUGCAUGGUGGGGGUUGGACAGUUUCGGCGGUUGGGUAUGGACUCGCGGCUUAUCAGCUUGUUGGUGGGGUAGUGGCUUACCAAGGCUUUGACGGGUAGCCGGCCUGAGAGGGUGACCGGCCACAUUGGGACUGAGAUAGGGCCCAGACGCCUACGGGAGGCAGCAGUGGGGAAUAGUGCACAAUGGGCGGAAGGCUGAUGCAACGACGCCGCGCGCGGGAUGACGGCCUUCGGGUUGUAAACCGCUUUCGCCUGUGACGAAGCGUGAGUGACGGUAAUGGGUAAAGAAGCACCGGCUAACUACGUG
rnacentral:rRNA from 1 species